rnacentral:lncRNA from 1 species
UCAAGAAUGACCCUUUCUUGUCAGUGGAAUGUGGGUUGGAAUGAGUAAGAUUGAAUCCAAUUUUUCCUUUAAUUCUGAUAAAAUCAAGCAAACUUUAAACCAAAGAAUUGGUUUAAAGGAUGGAGGUUUAAAGGUUUAAGGUUUACAUGAUGGAGAGAAAUACAUUAGUGCUUUUGUGAAAUCAGGUCAAAAUACAGCAUUGUUGCAAACAAAGAGAGCAAAUAUGGACAAGUUGGCCUCACAUGUCUCCAUGAGAUUGUAAACAUCAGUAACAGGGAGUCAGACAAACAGAGCAAUUGGAACUAUGGAAACAUUACUGUUCCCAAACAAACUCUGUGAAAUUACAAGCCCAGAGAACACCCACGGAGCUCUCAAACAGGGUUCCAAAGAAGACGAGACUACUAACUUCUAAGGAAGCAACAAUAGGAAAGGAAAAACCCAGCUGGGCUGAGCUUGCCCUUCUCAGCUGGCACUAGAAUAAUACUGCUUGAAGAAAACAACGUGAAGUCUGGGAGUCAGAGAGCCACAAUAAAAGCUGUAUUAUAGCAAGGAGUGGGGAAAAGGUAAAAUUAGGUUGGAGCAAGAAGAUUGUGAAAUCUCAUGUUCCACAAUGGUCCGCUGAGCAAGUCAAAAUAGAGUUCGAUCUCCAUGAUUCAAAAUCUCCCAAUGGUGACCACACUGUCUCCGCUGUGAAUCUGGAAUGUUUGGGGAAUCCCAUUCCAUCAGAUGGUCUUCCCUCAAGUGUGUGCUACUCCA